CCUACGGGCGGCUGCAGUGGGGAAUAUUGGACAAUGGGGGGAACCCUGAUCCAGCCAUGCCGCGUGUGUGAAGAAGGCCCUCGGGUUGUAAAGCACUUUCAGUGAGGAAGAACGCCUGGUGGUUAAUACCCAUCAGGAAAGACAUCACUCACAGAAGAAGCACCGGCUAACUCCGUGCCAGCAGCCGCGGUAAUACGGAGGGUGCGAGCGUUAAUCGGAAUUACUGGGCGUAAAGCGCGCGUAGGUGGCUUGAUAAGCCGGUUGUGAAAGCCCCGGGCUCAAACUGGGAACGGCAUCCGGAACUGUCGAGCUAGAGUGCAGGAGAGGAAGGUAGAAUUCCCGGUGUAGCGGUGAAAUGCGUAGAGAUCAGGAGGAAUACCAGUGGCGAAGGCGGCCUUCUGGACUGAAACUGACACUGAGGUACGAAAGCGUGGGUAGCAAACAGGAUUAGAUACCCUGGUAGUC
rnacentral:rRNA from 1 species